AGCACCACAACUAUUCGGCGAGGAUCUGAAAAGUACUUGAAGGAUGCUGCAUUCAACUAUGAAGUGCUCGGGGGCUUGUCAGGGAUAGAUCCCUAGUACCCACAAGGAAGAAGAUGGACUCCGACUAAGAUUCUCCUGUAAUCCUACUAGGACUCAUACCAUGUAAUCCUACUAGGACUCCUCCUUGUAACCGACUAGUUAUCCUGCCCCGUGAGUAUAUAAAGGAGGGUAGGGGUAGCUAGAUCGGCAGCUCAGAACCAUUAUCAAUAGCCAACAACCAGGCUACACAACAACCAAGCGCAGGGCGCAAUAUACAACACUCAAAACAGGACGUAGGGUAUUACACUACUCUUGCGGUCCGAACAUGUAUAAAUCCGUAUCUUGUGUCCUCGCUUUUACCUACAAGUUUCAGGUCCCACAAUCCCCCACCAAC
rnacentral:lncRNA from 1 species